rnacentral:lncRNA from 1 species
AAUUUACAGUAUAUAUAUAUAUUAUGUAUAUAACUUGGGAAAAUACCCAAAUUUUAUAAAGAAGAAUAAAUUAAUUGAUUGUUAUAUGGUAUUAGAAUAGGAAGAUGUGGUAUAUUGCUAAUUUGACAACCCUCCAUCAGAGACCAAAGGAUGUAGGCCGUUAGCAACUGAUGACACUGGACAACCUUUAACAAUCAGUAAAAUCCAUACCGCAUAGCUAUUUUUAUUGAAAAUCAUAUUAU